AGAUGUGAUGUUUGUUUCGAGCUCUCGCCUUGUGCACGGUUAAAGUCGCGGCGGCAGAAUUAUCGGAAGAUUCCUGCAGGGGAGAGAAGAGAGACGAGUCAGCUUGGGCGCCGGCGGAGCCCGGACUCGCGGCACCUGGGGAAGGAAAACACGCCCCGACACACGCGCCUCUGCGGGCGCCAAAAAUAACCCGCGCAGGCCGGGCGCCCACCCCGGGGCAACCCGCGCCCACCUCAGGAGCCCCAGGCACCCACCCCGAGGAUCCCACUUGCAGCGCUACAGCCAGCUCCUUCUCUGGGCCUCCCGCACCCACUUAAGGCAGAGUGACUGACCUAAAAGUCCACGCUGGUCGUGUGGCUUCCGUUCGCAAAUAUCUCACCUGGACCUCCCUCCCUGGAGCCAGACAAGACCCAAACCUCCGAAGCGAAUGCAGUCCCUGCAGGGCGAGAAGGAGAAACUGAUAGUCCGCAGGGGGGUGAACUUAAGGCCCUUGCUUUCAUUAGCACAGUGUUGUAACUGCCAAGGAGCCUCUGAGGAAAUGGGCUUUACGUACAUAUACAUACUCGCCCUUGCCCCUGAACCAACAUCAAAUACUUUCAUGUUAUUCUUGGGGGCGUUUUAAUUCUUCAGAUCUUCUGGAUUCGUGUUUUUGUAACCCAUCAGACAAGCUUUUGUACAUCUCUUUCCAGCCUAGGCCUACACACUAACAGAAAUAGUUUUACAUCGAAGGACAGUGCUUUAGUAUUGUAUUCAGUCUCUUUUCUUUCUUUUUUCUAGUUGUGUUUCAAAAUGUUUUUUCUAUCUUGUGAUAGUUUUGCAGAAAAAAAUAUUGAAAUAAUUCAAAUCAGGUUCUUAAUCUGCUUUAUUAAAUUAAAGUUCUCUAACUUUGAUAUUUUGAAUAAACACGCAGAAGUGUCUCUGCCUUUUCUGUUAGUAUCUAAUCUUCCCUGCAAUUACCAGUCACUAGUAAAAUGCUAUGACAGUCAUAGAUCCUGUGGCUCUCACUGUGAGUUUUCUGGGCUGAGUAGGGACUUUCUGAGGUUUAACCCCCAGGAUACUUUUUAUAGAAGCACCAGCUGAUUCACCAAUGCCCUUCAAAAUGAGCACCUAUCCAUCACUCUCUAGACUCUCCCAACAGGUCAAACCAGGGAGCUUCGUUGAAAUAGACUUGGCAUUAAAUUAAAAUGUUUCCCAAAGCAUCUUGGCAGACCUGUAACUAAUGAUGCCAGAGGCCCAAGGCCUGUGCCAGGUUCCUUUUUAUCCCCAUAAGUGCUUGUCUUCCACAAGCCGCUGGUCACACGCCCGCUGAUGUUGUAGCAGCAUUUCUUCAUCCCACAAACAGCCCAACUGUAGGUACCAUAUCUCAGACAUGGUGAAGGGAAGCAGCAUGUUCGGCUGACAUGUGCAAUACUUGGCUCCCAACAGGCUUUUUAAUAACCUAAACUCAGAUUUUUUUUUUUUUUUCAUCACAAAUAGCGCAGUAAGUAAUUGUUUUUCCUCAUUCCUGCUUGUCUCUCUGCAGUUACUAAAUGGUUGCUUUUCAUUCCUCAUAUUCCAUGAGCAAUAUUAUUGAAGAAAUUGUAAAUAUUUUCCCAAAAUUCUUGCUGAAGUGUUUUCAUGGCAUUGUGAAAUUCAUAGAAGUUGGAGAUAUAAAAACAGCCAAAAUACCAUAGUCAUUCCUUAGCAAAUAUUGUCUAAUGGUUCCCUCAGACUACAUUUCAGAGCAGGACAAUAAGAUAGGCAAGACAUUAAUAAAAUGCCCAUUCUAAGUAGGUCCAUGAUGCUUAUGCCAAUUUAUUUUAUCUACAUGCUAAUGAGUAAUCUGUUCAUAAUGUCUAAAGUCAGUAGAUACCUUUAAAAUCUCAUUCUAUCAUGCCAGCAACAUAUGGCUUCAUCGCUUUUAAAUUUUCUUCAUAUUUCAGUCCAUCUCAGAUUUUAAUCAUUUGUCACUCUUCACCAAACUGUCUUCUAUUUGCAUCAUCAAUUUAAUCCCCAGAACUUGAACUAUUCAGACUCCCUGUUCCUUAAGAAUCUUCCUUUCGUCUCUCAAAAUAACACUGUCUCAAUUUACUGACUUCUUGCCAUCAUUUAUGGCCUCAUAGGUUAUGAAUUCAUAUCUAGUUUCCAGUUCACAGGCUCCAAAUAUUAGGACUCUCCAACUUUUUUUCUGAAUCACUGAGUACCUGGCCUUUAGAUUAUUUUUUUUCCUUAAUAUAUUAUGACAAUUUUCAUUUCCCAAACCUCAAUCUCAUUUUAUUUCCUCUGUUUCUCCAAAGAUGCAGUUCAACCUCUGAGCCUUCAUAUUCAACUGCUGUUCAUAUGCUUAACAUAAAUGCUAACUAGAGCAGAAAGUAGAUGACCAAAAUGCUUUAAGGAAAUUGCAGAUUAUAUCAAUGUACUGGUCCACACUGGCUACUCAUUUGCUUCCUGGGUCAAUCCAGGGGAUUGAUUUUAAUCUAUUAUGCUCCUACAGCUUAGAUUAUAUUUAUUUUAUCAUGAUCCUCAACAACAAGAAAUAUGUAGCGAUUGAUUGCCUUUUUUCCUGAGCACUAAUGUGGCAAGUUAGACCUGCCAAAAGCUUUCAUUUCCAUAUUUUUUUUCCUCUGACACUAAAGAUCCUACACCCAUUUUCCUUAGAUCCAGCUUCCACAAGUGUAUAUGGCUGCCAAGAAGUUAGGCACUCAGGGAAUUACAUCUAUGCUUUCCAGCCACUGAGGAACUACUCUUUGAGUUCAUUAAGUUUUUUCAGGGGCUAUUGGUAGCAUUUUGAGGGAAUCUACUAAUUAUUGGGAAUUCGAUAAGAUUAUUCAGUUAGCAAAAGGAUACAAUAUGCUAGACUAAUGUGAGUCCCUCAAAAAUAACUUAUUACACUGGUUUUAUAAAUUCUCUCUCAUGUAUUUGAUUAUACAUCUACCAUUAUUUUAUUACAGGAGUCAUUGCAAACUCAAAUGCGUAUGGGGGCCAGGUAGGUAAUGUAAUGCAUGAAGUUGGAGGAUUUGCUUCAUAAUAGCAUCACAGUGUAUGAUUUUCAACAAUGACAUCCUUUGCAUAUCAAAUACAGAGUAAUAGUCUUCCUAAUUCAUUUCUGGUUUUCUAAUUUUGAUAGGGUCUUGUCACAAGAAACAUUUGACUUUCCUUUUAACUCUAAAAAAGAUGUGUGAACAUACUGAUAAAUAGCAACUGACACCUGGCCAGGUGUAAUGGGGCAACACGGGGUGGUAGACUCAGGUGAUCUGGUGAUCUGGUGAGGAAUCUUACUGCUACCAUGAGGGAGUCUUGGCUCAGUGCUGCCAAGACCAUCUUAUUUUUCUAGAAAAGCCGGAAAUAUGGAACAUAAAACUUGCUAUUUUGUUAGUUCCCGCUCUUAAGGGAAAGACAUCCACAAAUUGAGGUCUUCACGUAUUGUUCUUUAUGAAGUCUACAGAGAGGUCUGUUUUUUCCUAUCCCACCUCCAAAUGGCGUGAUAAGUAAACCUUAGCAAAUGCCUUCCAAAUUCUGCAUUUCUUUGGGUCUUGUCAAUAUGUUGUUCAUGGACAGAUUUAUUUUCAUGAGUUUCAAGAAGUCAGAUAUCUGAUGACCACAUCAUUUUACACAUCCCAAUAUGUGAUGUGUUGCUCCCAACCUAUUUCUCUUCAUCUACCCACUCCCACAUCCCAACCCCAGGAAUAUUUCAUCUCUGAAAUCUGAAACUUGGAAACUCAUUGUCUACCCAGAAAUUCUGCCCUUUCACUGGUCCCAUUAUCUUACUUCCCCUAAACCCACCUGCCAGUCUUAGCAAGACCUGUACUUUCUCUAACCCUUCCCAAUCCCUUAGUCUGUAAGUACCCCUUUUUAGACCUUUUUCCCCUACCUAGCCUUGGCCUCAUGACCAAGACCUUCAAUGCAACCACAUUCUCACUAGCAUCCUAGACCCCUCACAUUCUUGUCCUUCUGCUGUGCCCACCUUGCCAAUCUACAGCUUUGCAUAAAUGUAACCAUGGCUUUCUCUGUGCAUGCCCCCUGACUGCCAGUCUAAUGUGGAAAAAAAUCAUAUAGCCAGGCUGUAUUGUAAGUAUAUGAUUUCCAUCUUCAGCAGAGCCUCUGGUAUAUUGGGCAAUGUUUUACCCUUUGCUAAUUGGCAUAAAUCUUUAUUCUCCAAACUGUUACUAUCCAAAUCCCUACUAACCCACUGGCCCUCAAUCUCAGCAGUUGUCCAAGGAUUCUACUUCACAAAAUGCACCAAGAAAUAAACUGCUUUAACUUUUCUUCCACGUCACUUACCCUUACUUCAUUCACCCACCACCCUUGCAGUCUAAGGCUAACCCUGAAUCAGAAACCAUCUAUGUAUGUUUUCUACGAUUAUUGGACUCUUCUGCUCCAAUGUGAUUUAUCUUUUGGGUCCAAGGGGUUUUGUUACCCUCUGGAUGGCAGAAGCUGGAAUGGGGUCUUCCCUGAAGGAAUGGCUAAUCCCAACUUCAAUCAUCCAAGGACACAAAGGAGUCAGGGAUUUGGAAGACAGCCUUAGACCACCUUCUCUCAGGAAUGGUGUCUUGAGUCUUCAUGGGUGCUCCAAGGCAGUGAGGAGGAAAAGAAUAGGGCCCCCAGGAGCAAGGAGGAGAAUAAAUUGCUUUCAACAGAACCCCAUAAGGCUCAGCCUGUGGGUUCAGAGGAUAGGGACAUUGGGUUUAAAUGUGCUUUUUAUGGUGUGUUUUCCCCAAGUUGUUAAUAAAGAGGGGUUAGGUAUUAAUAGCUCCUCUCAGUUGUACCAUUAUGGAUAAAGUGAUGGUCUCUGAAAGAAGGAGGAAGGGGAAAGUAAGACCCUGAGUUAAAGAGGCAAGUGGUGAGGGGAGUAGACCAACCCCUCAGGGAGCUUCUCUUCGUAAACCUCUCAGCGCUGAGGCAGUUCUUCCACCUCUUCCGCCUUGCUUUGUCACAUCUCUUGGUCCAUUCUCUAUCCAUUCUUGCUUUCCUUCCACAUAAAAAUACAUUCUAGACAUCCCUUCCUAAAAAUUUUUUCCUCGACUCUCUUUCCUUCUCAAGCUACACUUUCUCACUCUCCUUGCUCCUUACACUGAAAUUUCGGUCAAAAAAGAAACUAUUUUCUGUUUGAUGUUCACCAUUCUUUUUGUUGCCAGCCUAUUGUAACUGGCUUCCAUCCCCUUCUGCAGAAACUGUCCUCCCAAAGAUCAUGGUUGAAAUCCUAAUCAACAAACUCAAUGGCUACUUUUAAAAAAAAAAAUACUUUAAGUUCUGGGGUACAUGUGCAGAAGCUGCACGUUUGUUACGUAGGAAUACACAUGUGAUGGUGGUUGGCUGCAUCUAUCACCCCGCCAUCGACAUUAGGUAUUUCUCCUAAUGCUAUUCUCCCCUAGACUCCCACCCCCCGAUAGGCCUCAGUGUGUGAUGUUCCCCUCCCUGUGUCGAUGUGUUCUCAUUGUUCAACUCCCACUUAUGAGUGAGAACAUGCAGUGUUUGGUUUUCUGUUCUUGUGUUAG